rnacentral:tRNA from 1 species
GCAGUGGUAGCUCAGUGUCAGAGCGCCGGCCUUGUAAGCCGGCUGUCGGGGGCUAAAAUCCUCCCCGCUGCU